rnacentral:rRNA from 1 species
UACGAAGGGGGCUAGCGUUGCUCGGAAUCACUGGGCGUAAAGCGCACGUAGGCGGCUUUUUAAGUCAGAGGUGAAAUCCUGGAGCUCAACUCCAGAACUGCCUUUGAUACUGGAGAGCUUGAGUCCGGGGGAGGUGAGUGGAACUGCGAGUGUAGAGGUGAAAUUCGUAGAUAUUCGCAAGAACACCAGUGGCGAAGGCGGCUCACUGGCCCGGUACUGACGCUGAGGUGCGAAAGCCAGGGGAGCAAACGGG